CUGGCCUUCGGGUGUUUUAGAAAAUAGCUUGACCCCCUUCCUCCUCUCUGUGGCAGCCCCUCAAAUAUUGAAAGAUGCUCUCCUGUCUCCCCUGGUCCUUCUCUUCCCUAGACUAGCCAGGCCCAGUGUCCUGCAACCGUUCUCCAGUCCCCUCCAGAGUCUCUUUAUUUCCUAGUUUGUGGCCUUCGUACAAGAACACCUGCAAAGUAACCCCACUACUACAGGAUUUGCACCAAUUCCCCAAGCCACCCCCUCAAGAAAAACCCACACAUGGUGUAUAUCUUAGGAGUAGUUCCUCCCUGUGGUGGAUUUCAGCGCCUGGAACUCCCAGCACGAGUGCACCUAGAAGAUGCCCAGGUGAGGAGGGCAGCCUCGGACUAAGAUUCUAUCUUCCUGGGUCUUUUUGAGCCAUGUUCCUACCUGUGGAAUCGUGUUCCUUUUUUUUUUUUUUUCCCAGAUUGGGAGGGGUCUUAUUGUUUCUCUCAUACGGGUAGUCCUCGAAUUACGACCACACUCGAGCCUCAAAAUUGCCAUUCCUAAGCUAAAAACAUGUUCAGUGAGGUUCCAUUUUACGGCCUUCGUUGUUAAGUGAGUCACUGCCGUGGUUCCCUGAACGGCCGUUGUUGCUCGCUUAUCAACGGCAGCGAUUCACGUUAACGACUGUGGCAAGAAAGGGGGGGCAAAAUGGCAGGACUCAAAACGUCUCACUUAACGACCGAAAAUCUUGAGCGGUGUAAAUGGGAUUACAGGGGAGAAGAGGGGAUCUUUUGAGGAAAGAGAAGCUGAAUUUCAUUGGUUCGGGACUUUCUUUUUGGGCCAACCAACUAAGGAUUGUCACACUCUUAAUUUUAGGAAAAAGGUAGAAAACCCAGCACUGGGUUUGUGGGUGUUUUGUUUUGUUUUUUAGUUAGGAAAAAAUUAAGGUUUGGUGGUCCGUUAUGUAGAGAAAGUAGAAUAUUAGAGACGAUCCUCCUAAUCAUACAACUGAUUAAAUUAAAAGUCUUGAAAUUCAGGACAGAAAAAAAUGAAGUUGCUUCGGCAGGAUCUACUGAAAAACAUGGGCUUGAUUUCCACAAGAUGGGGCUGGACCGGUGAGGCCUUUGGAUUUCUCCAGUCGGCCAUUUUUAGUUCUGGCAAGAUGGUGGCCCUGCUCCCUGCCAGAUUUCUUAAUAGGAAAGAUGGUGUGUGAAGGAUGAAGGUGACUUUAGUCUGGUUGGUCUAGUGGUUAAGGCAACCAGGCUAAAAAGGAGAUGGUGAGUUCUAGUCCUGCCCCAGGUACGAAAGCUGGCUGGAUGACUGGAUCAGUCACACACUCAACUCCACUUCACAGGGUUGUUGUGGGCUGGGUGACUUUGGAUCAAUAACCAGGAGACAGUGAGUUCUAGUCCUGCUUUAGACAUACUGGGUGACUGGGUCAGUUAACUCUCAACUCCAACUCACAGGGUUGUGGGCUGGUGACUUUGGAUCAAUAACCAGGGGUAAGUGAGUUCUAGUCCUGCCACAGGUAUGAAAGCUGGCUGGGUGACUAGGCCAGUCACUCUCAAUUUAACUCCACCUCACAUGGUUGUGGGCUAGGUGACUUUGGAUCAAUAACCAAAUGACAAUGAAUUCUAGUUCUGUCCGAAGCAUGUCCAAAACUGACCAGGUGACUUUGGACUAAUCAAGAAAAAGUGAGUUCUAGUCCUGCUUUAGAUACGAAAGGUGACUGGGUCAGUCACUCAACCUAAGUCCACCCCACAAGUAGUUGUGGGCUGGGUGACUUUGGGUCAAUAACCAGGGGACAGUGAGUUCUAGUUCUGUCCUAAGCACGAAAACCGACCGGGUGACUUUGGACUAAUCCAGAAAGUGAGUUCUAGUCCUGCUUUGGAGGGGAAAGCCUGCUGGGUGACUGGGUCAGUCACUCGCUCUCAACCUAAUCCACCUCGCAGGGUGGUGGUGGGCUGGGUGACUUUGCUUCAGUAGCCAGGAGACCGUGAGUUCUAGUUCUACCCUUAGCGUGUAAGCCGCCUGGGUGACGUUGAGCCAGUCCUCGGGAGACUCGGGAAAUCUAGUCCCGCCUUAGGCACACGCAAAAAAAACCAGCUGGGUGACUUUGGACAGCUCUCUAGGCGACAAGGAGUUCUAGUCCUACUUUAGGCAUGAAAGCUGGCUGGAUGCCUAGGCCCAUCGCUCACUCUCCACCUAGUUCACCUCCCAGAGUUGUGGGGAAAAUAGGAAGAGGAAGGGCCAGUAGGUAUAUCCGCCACCUUGAAUUAUAUCUAAAAAUAAUUAAAAGGUGGGAUUU